rnacentral:rRNA from 1 species
UACAGAGGUCUCAAGCGUUGUUCGGAUUCAUUGGGCGUAAAGGGUGCGUAGGUGGCGUCGUAAGUGGGGUGUGAAAUCCCGGGGCUUAACCCCGGGACUGCAUUCCAUACUGCGGUGCUUGAGGACUGGAGAGGAGACUGGAAUUUACGGUGUAGCAGUGAAAUGCGUAGAGAUCGUAAGGAAGACCAGUGGCGAAGGCGGGUCUCUGGACAGUUCCUGGCACUGAGGCACGAAGGCCAGGGGAGCAAACGGG